rnacentral:rRNA from 1 species
GAGUACGUGAAACCGUUUAGGGGUAAACCUGAGAAACCCGAAAGGUCGAAGGGAGAAAUUCAUUCGCGUUUCGUCAUCGGCGGUCGGCUGUUGUGCGACGGAAGCGGUAUUAUUAUCGUUUUCGCACCUUCGAUCGAUCGAACCGCGGACGAACGCGUGCACUUUUCUCCUGGUAGGACGUCGCGAUCUGUCGGGCGUCGGUCUACGGCUAGCGGAAGGAGCCCGUUCGUCGUUUUUCGAAACGUGUACGAGCGGACCCGCUUGUUUCCCGACCGACUCGCUCGACGGUAUACGAAAGGUUCGGAGCCGCUAUUUAACGAGCGUUCGACUCGCGGCAAGCCCGUUUCGGUCGAUAGCGAUCGGACCUAGUGCCGAUUCUGUCGUCGAGCGGUUCGUUUGCCGCGAAGUUCUCGAACAGACUCCGCGUAUUUCUCGCAAGAGAAAUAUAACCGAUCUGCACGCAAGCU